AGAAUCAACGCUGGCGGCGUGCCUAACACAUGCAAGUCGAACGAGAAAGUGGGAGCAAUCCCACGAGUAAAGUGGCGCACAGGUGAGUAACACGUGACUAACCUACCCUUGAGUGGGGGAUAACCUAGGGAAACCUGGGCUAAUACCGCAUAAUACCUACGGGUCAAAGGAGCAAUUCGCUUAAGGAGGGGUCGCGGCAGAUUAGUUAGUUGGCGGGGUAAUGGCCCACCAAGACAGUGAUCUGUA
rnacentral:rRNA from 1 species